UGAGGAAUAUUGGUCAAUGGACGAAAGUCUGAACCAGCCAUGCCGCGUGAAGGAAUAAGGCCCUAUGGGUCGUAAACUUCUUUUGUAUGUGAGCAAUAAGGUCCACGAGUGGUCCGAUGAGAGUAGCAUACGAAUAAGCAUCGGCUAACCCCGUGCCAGCAGCCGCGGUAAUACGGGGGAUGCGAGCGUUAUCCGGAUUUAUUGGGUUUAAAGGGUGCGUAGGCGGGGUGGUAAGUCAGCCGUGAAAUGUCCACGCUCAACGUGGAACGUGCGUUUGAUACUGCCGUCCUGGAAUGCGGAUGCCGUGGGAGGAAUGUGUGGUGUAGCGGUGAAAUGCAUAGAUAUCACACAGAACACCGAUUGCGAAGGCAUCUCACGAAUCCGCAAUUGACGCUGAGGCACGAAAGCGCGGGUAUCGAACA
rnacentral:rRNA from 1 species